rfam:Brassica napus, WGS project CCCW01000000 data, contig: 1283
UAACCAUGAUGGGGACAUUCAAGUUCAUAGCUCUUGAAUCUUCCCCAUGCAUUUUUAAACGAUUCACGUGGAUCUUGGCGGAAUAUAAAGAUUUGUCUCCUUACUUG